UGAAAAGUCUUCAGAAGGCAGAUAUUCAAAGAAACUUGCUACAGAGCACAGAAGUUGUAUAAUAGUGAUCCGAUUGAAGCAGAAUGUUGUGUAUAAGGAGUUGAAAGAACACUAAAAUUGGUGGCAACCUUGCCACUUGCAAGCUUCGUGAUUUAAGGAUUCUGUUUGGAAUUAUGACUCUGAGUGCCUCUAGAACAUGUUGCAUCAGGAAAACUCAGCAAGACUCAAACCAAGACAGAGAAGAAAGUGAAUAUGGAAAGAUGAGGAUGUGGCCUAAGUGAGUA
rnacentral:lncRNA from 10 species